rnacentral:rRNA from 1 species
GAUGAACGCUGGCGGCGUGCCUAAUACAUGCAAGUCGAGCGAACGGACGAGAAGCUUGCUUCUCUGAUGUUAGCGGCGGACGGGUGAGUAACACGUGGAUAACCUACCUAUAAGACUGGGAUAACUUCGGGAAACCGGAGCUAAUACCGGAUAAUAUUUUGAACCGCAUGGUUCAAAAGUGAAAGACGGUCUUGCUGUCACUUAUAGAUGGAUCCGCGCUGCAUUAGCUAGUUGGUAAGGUAACGGCUUACCAAGGCAACGAUGCAUAGCCGACCUGAGAGGGUGAUCGGCCACACUGGAACUGAGACACGGUCCAGACUCCUACGGGAGGCAGCAGUAGGGAAUCUUCCGCAAUGGGCGAAAGCCUGACGGAGCAACGCCGCGUGAGUGAUGAAGGUCUUCGGAUCGUAAAACUCUGUUAUUAGGGAAGAACGUAUGUGUAAGUAACUGUGCACAUCUUGACGGUACCUAAUCAGAAAGCCACGGCUAACUACGUGCCAGCAGCCGCGGUAAUACGUAGGUGGCAAGCGUUAUCCGGAAUUAUUGGGCGUAAAGCGCGCGUAGGCGGUUUUUUAAGUCUGAUGUGAAAGCCCACGGCUCAACCGUGGAGGGUCAUUGGAAACUGGAAAACUUGAGUGCAGAAGAGGAAAGUGGAAUUCCAUGUGUAGCGGUGAAAUGCGCAGAGAUAUGGAGGAACACCAGUGGCGAAGGCGACUUUCUGGUCUGUAACUGACGCUGAUGUGCGAAAGCGUGGGGAUCAAACAGGAUUAGAUACCCUGGUAGUCCACGCCGUAAACGAUGAGUGCUAAGUGUUAGGGGGUUUCCGCCCCUAGUGCUGCAGCUAACGCAUUAAGCACUCCGCCUGGGGAGUACGACCGCAAGGUUGAAACUCAAAGGAAUUGACGGGGACCCGCACAAGCGGUGGAGCAUGUGGUUUAAUUCGAAGCAACGCGAAGAACCUUACCAAAUCUUGACAUCCUUUGACAACUCUAGAGAUAGAGCCUUCCCCUUCGGGGGACAAAGUGACAGGUGGUGCAUGGUUGUCGUCAGCUCGUGUCGUGAGAUGUUGGGUUAAGUCCCGCAACGAGCGCAACCCUUAAGCUUAGUUGCCAUCAUUAAGUUGGGCACUCUAAGUUGACUGCCGGUGACAAACCGGAGGAAGGUGGGGAUGACGUCAAAUCAUCAUGCCCCUUAUGAUUUGGGCUACACACGUGCUACAAUGGACAAUACAAAGGGCAGCGAAACCGCGAGGUCAAGCAAAUCCCAUAAAGUUGUUCUCAGUUCGGAUUGUAGUCUGCAACUCGACUACAUGAAGCUGGAAUCGCUAGUAAUCGUAGAUCAGCAUGCUACGGUGAAUACGUUCCCGGGUCU